AGCAGAACCCUCCCUGCUCCCAGGCGGCUCAGGGGGAGCUCGGUGUUUGCCUCCAGCCCUUCGCUACCGAGGAUCAGGUUCCUCCCCUCCUCCCCCUCCAGCUCCGGCCGCCGCCGCCGCCUCCUUCUUGCAUGACACAGCAGAACCGCAGCUGCAGCAGCAAGUCCAAACCAUCCGCCCAGGAAGCGCCGCAACCAGGGCUUGGGAGGAGCGGAUGGGGCAAGGCAGGGGUCUAACCCAGGGGUAGUCUUGGACCCACUUUCCACCAUAAACUCCCUCUUUGCCCAGGGCAAGCCGACAAAAUGUGGUUCAAGCUGACCAGGCCGAGCCGUGGAGGAAUGCUGGGGUUCGCCCGCAGAAGGGAUGGGACCAGAGAGGAGGGGUAAAGGAGACCCCAGUAAAGGGCAGGCCAUUUCAGGUGAAGAAAGGUCAUGGCUUCAUACCUCACUUCCUGACACAAACAAGUUUUUACUGUUGUCAGCAACAAAGCCCUAAUAUAGCCGCGGAAGAGAAAAACUGCCUUGCAUUUUGCCUCUUGAGAGCAUCAUCAACAGUUACCGGAGGAAUGUAAUUCCAGAAAGCUCCGAAACUGGUAGUGAUGGUAAUUAUGGACCAAAUGCCCGGUUCUGGUUGUUAUUUUCUGGGCAUUUCUGUUCUACCAACGAUCUGCGAGUGAGCUCACUGAGAGGGCAAAUCUGGCUUUUCUUUUUGACUUUGUAAAAUUUAAUCAGGCCUGAUAGGGAACUCACAGCUCUUGGGGGAAAAUAAAGUAGGAACCACGAAAUGUCAUUUUAACAGAGCGUGGGCUUGGUGACUGCAGGAAAGGAUUUAAGGACGCUCCUGUUCCGCUUGCUGUGUAAUGAGCACUGGCUCCACGCACGCACCGACGCCAUAGCUCCCGGAUGCAGUGGCUCCCUUAUCUGGGCUUUCGCAGCGCCACAAGCCCCUUCGGGAUGCUUCGAGGGGCUCCUGGUGGGUGGUGGUACAAAUGCUGCCGCCGCCGCCGCCGGCGGUCCUGCUGCUGUUGUUGCUGCUGCAGUCACGUGGGAGCCCCUUUAAGUUUCCAUAGAGAGGCCUCUCCGGUGUCACAUGAUGGACAUGAUAUAAUGAAACAACAUUGUGGAGAGGAAAGCAUUAGGGGAGCCCACGGCUACAAAACAAGUGAGAAGAGGUGGGAGAAAGAGAAACUACGCCACCUCCUCUGCAGCCGAGCGCACGCAGCAGCCUGGCGUGACAAGUGGGCGACGCCAGGGACAGAGAGUGGGGGUCCUCCGCCCGCUCCGGGGACCCUGUCGCCCACCGUGGUGCGCUGAGCAACUUUUAGCCGGCAGCCCCGCACCUGUCUCAGAGUCCCCAUCGCUCCCCACCAACCAUCAUGGGAAAAUUCUAGAAGAAUACGCUCUCGGAAUCUACGUGCGCAUCAUUUUCCUCCUCACUCCAGAGGAAGGAACCAGAAAAGAGAGCAAAGCGGUGUAGUGUUCAGCCUCAAG
rnacentral:lncRNA from 7 species